rnacentral:rRNA from 1 species
UAAUCUACCUUCGGAUGGGGAAUAACAAUCGGAAACGAUUGCUAAUACCGCAUAAUGCAGCGGCACCUAAUGGUGACAGUUGUUAAAGCGGGGGAUCGAAAGACCUCGCGUCUGAAGAGGAGCCUGCGGCGGAUUAGCUAGUUGGUAAGGUAAUGGCUUACCAAGGCAACGAUCCGUAACCGGCCUGAGAGGGCGGUCGGUCACACUGACACUGACAUACGGGUCAG